rnacentral:rRNA from 1 species
UACGUAGGGGGCAAGCGUUGUCCGGAGUUACUGGGCGUAAAGCGCCCGCAGGCGGUCGCGUCAGUUCGAGGUGACAGCUGUCGGCUUAACCGACAGAGGACCUUGAAGACGGCGUGACUUGAGGGCCAGAGAGGGACAUGGAACUCCGGGUGGAGUGGUGAAAUGCGUAGAGAUCCGGAAGAACACCAAAGGCGAAGGCAGUGUCCUGGCUGGCACCUGACGCUCGGGGGCGAAAGCGAGGGGAGCGAACGGG